UACGUAGGGUGCGAGCGUUAAUCGGAAUUACUGGGCGUAAAGCGUGCGCAGGCGGCUUGCCAAGUCAGAUGUGAAAGCCCCGGGCUCAACCCGGGAACGGCGUUUGAAACUGGCAGGCUAGAGUUUGGCAGAGGGGGGUGGAAUUCCACGUGUAGCAGUGAAAUGCGUAGAUAUGCGGAGGAACACCGAUGGCGAAGGCAAUCCCCUGGACCUGUACUGACGCUCAUGCACGAAAGCGUGGGGAGCAAACAGG
rnacentral:rRNA from 1 species